UCCGGUUUGUCACCGGCAGUCUCAUUAGAGUGCCCAACUGAAUGUAGCAACUAAUGACAAGGGUUGCGCUCGUUGCGGGACUUAACCCAACAUCUCACGACACGAGCUGACGACAGCCAUGCAGCACCUGUGUUCCGAUUCCCUUUCGGGCACACCCGCCUUUCAGCAGGCUCUCGGACAUGUCAAGGGUAGGUAAGGUUUUUCGCGUUGCAUCGAAUUAAUCCACAUAAUCCACCGCUUGUGCGGACCCCCGCCAAUUCCUUUGAGUUUCAAUCUUGCGAUCGUACUUCCCAGGUGGGAUGACGUGGGGAAUGUCGAUA
rnacentral:misc_RNA from 1 species